UUGUUAUCAAACACUGCGCGUGAGGCCAGAGUCGGCCUAAUCAGCCUCCAAGCCUUGCCUGGAUGGAAUGGAUCAGGGAGGGCUGGCGACCUGUUCUGUCACUGUAUUCUUUUUUUUAAGACGGAGUUUCGCUCUUGUUGCCCAAGCUGGAGUGCAGUGGCUCGAUCUCGGAUCACUGCAACCUCCACUACCCUCCUGCCUCAGCCUCCCGAGUAGCUGGGAUUACAGAGGUGAGGGUCUCACUACAUUGUCCAGCCUAGUCUUGAACUCCUGGCCUCAAGAACCGUCUCACCUUGGACUCCUAAAACUGCUGGGAUUACAGAUGAAGAGGCUCUCCAUUCCACAUUCCCCACUGAUUUGAAGAGAUUCUCCAUGUUGGUCAGGCUGGUCUCGAACUCCUGACCUCAGGUGAUCCACCUGCCUCGGCCUCCCAAAGUGCUGGGAUUACAGACGUGAGCCACCGUGCCAGGCCCAUAUCCCCCUCCUGAUAAGACCCUCAGCUGCCAAUUUCUUGGAUUCUGUCUUUGGUAAGCAAUCCAUUUAGAAGGGGAGAUUUUAAACAUUAACAAG
rnacentral:lncRNA from 10 species